AGUGAACGCUGGCGGUAGGCCUAACACAUGCAAGUCGAACGGCAGCACAGGAGAGCUUGCUCUCUGGGUGGCAAGUGGCGGACGGGUGAGGAAUACAUCGGAAUCUACUUUUUCGUGGGGGAUAACGUAGGGAAACUUACGCUAAUACCGCAUACGACCUACGGGUGAAAGCAGGGGACCUUCGGGCCUUGCGCGAUUGAAUGAGCCGAUGUCGGAUUAGCUAGUUGGCGGGGUAAAGGUCCACAAAGGCGACGAUCCGUAGCUGGUCUGAGAGGAUGAUAAGCCACACUGGAAUGGAGACACGGUCCAGACUCCAACGGGAGGCAGCAGUGGGGAAUAUUGGACAAUGGGCGCAAGCCUGAUCCAGCCAUACCGCGUGGGUGAAGAAGGCCUUCGGGUUGUAAAGCCCUUUUGUUGGGAAAGAAAUCCAGCCGGUUAAUACCUGGUUGGGAUGACGGUACCCAAAGAAUAAGCACCGGCUAACUUCGUGCCAGCAGCCGCGGUAA
rnacentral:rRNA from 1 species